GAUGAACGCUAGCGGCAGGCCUAACACAUGCAAGUCGAGGGGCAGCACGAAAUAGCUUGCUAUUUUGGUGGCGACCGGCGCACGGGUGCGUAACGCGUAUGCAACCUACCCUGUACUGAGGGAUAGCCCGGAGAAAUUCGGAUUAAUACCUCAUAGUAUUAUUGAUUCGCAUGGAUUGAUAAUUAAAGGUUACGGUACGGGAUGGGCAUGCGUCCCAUUAGCUAGAUGGUAAGGUAACGGCUUACCAUGGCAACGAUGGGUAGGGGGCCUGAGAGGGUGAUCCCCCACACUGGUACUGAGACACGGACCAGACUCCUACGGGAGGCAGCAGUGAGGAAUAUUGGUCAAUGGACGCAAGUCUGAACCAGCCAUGCCGCGUGCAGGAAGAAUGUCCUAUGGAUUGUAAACUGCUUUUAUUCGAGAAUAAACCCCCUGUCGUGCAUAGGGGCUGAGGUACCGAAUGAAUAAGCACCGGCUAACUCCGUGCCAGCAGCCGCGGUAAUACGGAGGGUGCAAGCGUUAUCCGGAAUCAUUGGGUUUAAAGGGUCCCGCAGGUGGAUGUAUAAGUCAGUGGUGAAAGCCUACAGCUUAACUGUAGAACUGCCAUUGAUACUGUAUGUCUUGAAUGUGGUCGAAGUGGGCGGAAUAUGUCAUGUAGCGGUG
rnacentral:rRNA from 1 species